rnacentral:rRNA from 1 species
GACGAACGCUGGCGGCGUGCUUAACACAUGCAAGUCGAACGGAAAGGCCCUGCUUUUGUGGGGUGCUCGAGUGGCGAACGGGUGAGUAACACGUGAGUAACCUGCCCUUGACUUUGGGAUAACUUCAGGAAACAGGGGCUAAUACCGGAUAGGAGCUCCUGCUGCAUGGUGGGGGUUGGAAAGUUUCGGCGGUUGGGGAUGGACUCGCGGCUUAUCAGCUUGUUGGUGGGGUAGUGGCUUACCAAGGCUUUGACGGGUAGCCGGCCUGAGAGGGUGACCGGCCACAUUGGGACUGGGAUACGGCCCAGACUCCUACGGGAGGCAUCAGUGGGGAAUAUUGCACGAUGGGCGGAGGCCGGAUGCAGCAACGCCGCGUGCGGGAUGACGGCCUUCGGGUUGUAAACCGCUUUCGCCUGUGACGAAGCGUGAGUGACGGUAAUGGGUAAGAAGCACCGGCUAACUACGUG